rnacentral:rRNA from 1 species
UUUCAGUCAGUGAGGAAGGUGGGUAUGUUAAUAGCAUACUCAUUUUGACGUUAGCUGCAGAAGAAGCACCGGCUAACUCCGUGCCAGCAGCCNCGGUAAUACGGAGGGUGCGAGCGUUAAUCGGAAUUACUGGGCGUAAAGCGCAUGCAGGUGGUUUGUUAAGUCAGAUGUGAAAGCCCGGGGCUCAACCUCGGAAUUGCAUUUGAAAACUGGCAAACUAGAGUACUGUAGAGGGGGUAGAAUUUCAGGUGUAGCGGUGAAAUGCGUAGAGAUCUGAAGGAAUACCGGUGGCGAAGGCGGCCCCCUGGACAGAUACUGACACUCAGAUGCGAAAGCGUGGGGAGCAAACAGGAUUAGAUACCCUGGUAG